GAUAUCGAAUUUACAUGGAUAACCGUGGUAAUUCUAGAGCUAAUACAUGCUGGUAGGCCCGACUUUUGCGGAAGGGCGGUAUUUAUUAGAUAACAAGCCAAUAUUCCUCUGGUCUAUUGUGGUGACUCAUAAUAACUGAUCGAAUCGCAAGGCCUUUGGCCGCGAUAAGUCAUUCAAGUUUCUGCCCCAUCAGCUUUCGAUGGUAGUGUAUUGGACUACCAUGGCGUUUACGGGUAACGGAGGAUUAGGGUUCGAUUCCGGAGAGGGAGCCUGAGAAACGGCUACCACAUCUAAGGAAGGCAGCAGGCGCGUAAAUUACCCAAUCCUGACUCAGGGAGGUAGUGACAAGAAAUAACGGACCGAGGCCUUCGGGCUUCGGGAUUGGAAUGAGCCGAAUUUACACCCCUUAGCGAAGAUCGAUUGGAGGGCAAGUCUGGUGCCAGCAGCCGCGGUAAUUCCAGCUCCAAUAGCGUAUAUUAAAGUUGUUGCAGUUAAAAAGCUCGUAGUUGGAUUUCUGGGAGGGUGCCGAUGUCCACUUAACGUGUGCGCAGCGGCGCCCUCUCAUCCUUCUGUUAGCGUCUCUUGGCAUUCAUUUGCUGGUGGCGGGCUCAGAUAUUUUACCUUGAGAAAAUUAGAGUGUUUCAGGCAGGCUAGGCCGGAAUACAUUAGCAUGGAAUAAUGGAAUAGGACUACGGUCUCUUUGUUGGUUUGAGGGACUGCAGUAAUGAUUAAUAGGGAUAGUUGGGGGCAUUAGUACUUAACUGUCAGAGGUGGAAUUCUCAGAUUUGUUAAAGACUGACUUAUGCGAAAGCAUUUGCCAAGGAUGUUUUCAUUAAUCAAGAACGAAAGUUAGGGGAUCAAAGACGAUCAGAUACCGUCCUAGUCUUAACCAUAAACUAUGCCGACUCGGGAUUGGGGGCGUGUUCUAUCCGCCUUCAGCACCGUAUGAGAAAUCAAAGUCUUUGGGGU
rnacentral:rRNA from 1 species